rnacentral:rRNA from 1 species
UGACUGUAGGUGAAAGCUUACAUCUCUUCGGAGCAUUUUACGAGGUGCUGCAUGGUUGUCGUCAGCUCGUGCCGUGAGGUGUCGGGUUAAGUCCCAUAACGAGCGCAACCCUACCUUUAGUUGCCAUCAGGUAAUGCUGGGGACUCUAAAGGAACUGCCUACGCAAGUAGUGAGGAAGCGGGGAUGACGUCAAAUCAGCACGGCCCUUACGUCCAGGGCUACACACGUGCUACAAUGGCCGAUACAGAGGGCAGCUACCUGGUGACAGGAUGCAAAUCUCCAAAGUCGGUCUCAGUUCGGAUCGGAGUCUGCAACCCGACUCCGUGAAGUUGGAUUCGCUAGUAAUCGCGCAUCAGCCAUGGCGCGGUGAAUACGUUCCCGGGCCUU